rnacentral:rRNA from 1 species
AUUGAACGCUGGCGGCAGGCCUAACACAUGCAAGUCGAGCGGUAACACAGGGAGCUUGCUCCCGGGUGACGAGCGGCGGACGGGUGAGUAAUGUCUGGGAAACUGCCUGAUGGAGGGGGAUAACUACUGGAAACGGUAGCUAAUACCGCAUAACGUCGCAAGACCAAAGAGGGGGACCUUCGGGCCUCUUGCCAUCAGAUGUGCUCGGAUGGGAUUAGCUAGUAGGUGGGGUAACGGCUCACCUAGGCGACGAUCCCUAGCUGGUCUGAGAGGAUUACCAGCCACACUGGAACGCAGACACGGUCCAGACGCCUACGGGAGGAAGCAGUGGGGAAUAGUGCACAAUGGGCGCAAGCCUGAUGCAGACAUGCCGCGUGUAUGAAGAAGGCCUUCGGGUUGUGAAGUACUUUCAGCGGGGAGGAAGGCGAGAAGGUUAAUAACCUUGUCGAUUGACGUUACCCGCAGAAGAAGCACCGGCUAACUCCGUGCCAGCCGCCGCAGUAAAAC